UACGUAGGGGGCAAGCGUUGUCCGGAAUCAUUGGGCGUAAAGCGCGCGUAGGCGGCUCGAUCAGUCUGCUGUGAAAGUCAAAGGCUCAACCUUUGAAUGCCGGUGGAUACUGUCGAGCUAGAGUCCGGAAGAGGCGGGUGGAAUUCCUGGUGUAGCGGUGGAAUGCGCAGAUAUCAGGAGGAACACCAACGGCGAAGGCAGCCCGCUGGGACGGUACUGACGCUAAGGCGCGAAAGCGUGGGGAGCGAACAGG
rnacentral:rRNA from 1 species